ensembl:snRNA U6 U6 spliceosomal RNA
AUGCCACCUUCAUAGCACUUACACUAAAAUUGCAAUGGUGUACAGAAGAUUAACAUAGCCCCUGAGCAAGAAUAAAAUACACAUUUAUGAAAGAUUACAUAUUUUA